GACGAACGCUGGCGGCGUGGAUUAGGCAUGCAAGUCGAACGGUAUCAUCCUUUCGGGGGUGAGAGAGUGGCGAACUGGUGAGUAACACGUAGGUUAUCUACCCUCAAGACGGGGACAACCCAGGGAAACUUGGGCUAAUACCGGAUGUGAGCAACUUUUAGUUGUUUGAAAGGUGGCGUAAGCUGUCGCUUGGGGAUGAGCCUGCGUCCUAUUAGUUAGUUGGUGAGGUAACGGCUCACCUAGGCAAUGAUAGGUAGGCGGCCUUAACGGGUGGUCGCCCACACUGGGAUUGAGAUACGGCCCAGACUCCUACGGGAGGCAGCAGUCGAGAAUAGUCUACAAUGGUCGGAAGACUGAUAGUGCGACGCCGCGUGAACGAUGAAUCCCUUCGGGGUGUAAAGUUCUUUUAUAUGUGAGCAGUGCUUCUUAUAUUAACAGUAUGGGGAGAGAGAUAUUAGCAUAUGAAUAAGCAACGGCUAACUCCGUGCCAGCAGCCGCAGU
rnacentral:rRNA from 1 species